rnacentral:rRNA from 1 species
GACGAACGCUGGCGGCGUGCCUAAUACAUGCAAGUCGAGCGAAGCGGGGACGGGUGAGUAACACGUAAGGAACCUCCGAUAAGCGGGGGACAACAUCCGGAAACGGGUGCUAAGCCGCAUACUUAUCGAUGGCCUGCGUGCAUUAGCUCGGUGGUGGGGUAAAGUCCUACAAGGACAUGAUGCAUAGCCGACCGAGAGGGUAAGCGGCCACAUUGGGACUGAGACACGGCCCAAACGCCUACGGGAGGCAGCAGUAGGGAAUCUUCCGCAAUGGGCGCAAGCCUGACGGAGCAACGCCGCGUGAGUGAAGAAGGUUUUCGGAUCGUAAAGCUCUGUUGUAAGAGAAGCGGUAUCUUACCAGAAAGCCACGGCUAACUACGUGCCAGCAGCCGCGGUAAUUC